GACCCAGUGGCGAAUGGUUCGCGCCCACACUCUGUGAAGACGUGGAGUGGAGUAGCAGUGGGUAGCCCUGGUUCGAUUCCAGGCUGGGUCG